GCUAAUACCGGAUAAGAAAGCAGAUCGCUAUGAUCAGACUUUUAAAAAGGCGGCGUAAGCUGUCGCUAUGGGAUGGCCCGCGGUGCAUUAGCUAGUUGGUAAGGUAAAGGCUUACCAAGGCGAUGAUGCAUAGCCCGAGUUGAGAGACUGAUCGGGCCACAUUGGGGACUGAGACACGGGGCCCAAACUCCUACGGGGGGAGGGGGCAGCAGUAGGGGGAAUCUUCCACAAUGGACGCAAGUCUGAUGGAGCAACGCCGCGUGAGUGAAGUAAGGUUUUCGGAUCGUAAAGCUCUGUUGUUGGUGAAGAAGGAUAGAGGUAGUAACUGGCCUUUAUUUGACGGUAAUCAACCAGAAAGUCACGGCUAACUACGUGCCAGCAGCCGCGGUAAU
rnacentral:rRNA from 1 species